UUUAGUUUUUGACUCUUCGUUUUAUCUAAAUUCUUUUUAUGAUUAGUAUUUAUAUUGUUAUUAGAUGAUAAAACAUGAAUACUACUUUAUAUGUGACUAUUUUUUAAUAAUUUUUUUAUAAAAUUUUCAAAUAAGACAAGAUGAUCAAACGUUAAACACAGAAACCUA
rfam:Oryza barthii chromosome 7, whole genome shotgun sequence.